rnacentral:rRNA from 1 species
GUAGGGUGCAAGCGUUAAUCGGAAUUACUGGGCGUAAAGCGUGCGCAGGCGGUUUUGUAAGUCAGAUGUGAAAKCCCCGGGCUUAACCUGGGAACUGCAUUUGAAACUGCGAGGCUAGAGUGUGUCAGAGGGGGGUAGAAUUCCRCGUGUAGCAGUGAAAUGCGUAGAGAUGUGGAGGAACACCGAUGGCGAAGGCAGCCCCCUGGGAUAACACUGACGCUCAUGCACGAAAGCGUGGGGAGCAAACAGGAUUAGAUACCCUGGUAGUCCACGCCCUAAACGAUGUCAACUAGUUGUYGGAGAAGCAWUUCUUUGGUAACGCAGCUAACGCGUGAAGUUGACCGCCUGGGGAGUACGGUCGCAAGAU